rnacentral:rRNA from 1 species
UGGGGAAUAUUGGACAAUGGGCGCAAGCCUGAUCCAGCAAUGCCGCGUGUGUGAAGAAGGCCUGCGGGUUGUAAAGCACUUUAAGCAGGAAAGAAGGGUGGGGUGUUAAUACCAUCUCACAUUGACGUUACCUGCAGAAUAAGCACCGGCUAACUCCGUG